AUGAGAACCGCGAAAGAGACGACGAGGAUUGACCGUCGGCCAUCUUUGCAUUCCUCGCAAUCGCCAUCUUGGGAACGAGAUGUUGAUGCAAGACUACUUCGCGGCAAUCCAACAUAUCCGCUGCACCUCUUCCGAAGAAGGUACCGAAUGCAUCGAUCCCUCUUUGUAAAAAUAGUGCAAGCUUGCGAGACCAAUUGUCGGUAUUUUACUAAAAGAAGAAAUAUCGCGGGCUUGAAGGGAUUUAGUGCAUAUCAAAAAAUCGCAGCUAUGCGGGUAAUGGCAUACGGCAUUCCGGCUGACUAUGCCGAUGAGUACCUUCGCAUUGGUGAAGAUACUACCACUACUAGGGAAAACCCUAUACACAGAACUUUAGCAGUAGCAUGGGUCAAAAAAGCACGCUGGUGCUAA
rnacentral:rRNA from 1 species